rnacentral:lncRNA from 1 species
UCGGCCUCCCAAAGUGCUGGGAUCACAAGCGUGAGCCAUCGCAAAUACAAAUAUUCAUUAAACGUAUAGGCUGUCUACUUACUCUAUGACCUUUCUACCUAGACUAAAGCCAAAAAACUCUGACACCCUAAAAGAUUCAUAAAUUAUUUACUACAUAAGGUUUAGAUGCAUCAUUACCAAUAUUGCACAUAGAAAUUUAAUGUUGUUAGUUGAGCAAACAGAUGCCAUGACUAUUUCUUCUCUUUAUAAAUCUUGGUGGCUUAUGGCAGCAGAAGCCUACUCCACUAUUUAGGCUCCUAUGACAGCUACUUUUCCCCUGUUGAGAAAGUUUCACCUUAAGUUGCUACCAAAAAAAUUAUACAAUUAAUGUAUUUUGUAACUCCUGAAAAUAAUUGUUUAUAUUAUCAUCUCAAGUAAAAUAAAAUAUUUUCAUAGAGAGAUGGAGAGAUGUGUAGGCAAUUUAUCAAAUAUUAACCUCUUCCUAAACAUGGGGUUGAAUUCCUCCCGUAACAUUGUAACGUUGUUAGAAUUAUGUGAAAGGGGGCUUUGUCUCAACUAUCCUGCUAGUCAUUCAUUCAACAGCAAUCUAUUUAUGUUGUAUGUUUCCCUAAAUGUUUCCAUUUUUGCCUCCAAACACUGCUAAUUUGGUUUGGUUGCUAUUUAUUUUAUACUGUCUUAUAAAUCCCCUGGAAAGUGUAUUGCCCCAUGCCUGCACACACUGCAGUACAAGAGUGUACUGAAGUACAUAAUGGAAGGGUUGGUUUUUUCUGCCACUCCAUCGCUUGAGUUUAAAUAAUAAGGAAACACAGAGAUCUAAAACAUUUUGAACAGUUAAGAAUUAUUAAAAGAAAGUAGAAUGACAAACAGGAAAAUUAUCUAUCCACAUCUAUAUAUGUAUAUCUUUCUAGAAAUGUCCUAUAAGGACAAAAGAGGAAAAAAUGAAGGGAAAAUUAUGAACCCUUGAAUAUGAGUCCUUCUGAGCAAAACUCUGUUCUUAGCAUUUCUCCACUAUUAUCAAGUUUCUAGUAUCCUCCAAGAAAAUACCAUAUUAUCAUCCUGGAACUUUGGUAGUAUAUACCUGUCCUUUCUAUCCCUAUCUACAGAGACCUGUCUGAUUUAGAUUCUAAACUGACCUUCCUCAUUUUUUUUUUUUUUGAGACAAUAUUGCUCUGUUGCCUAUGGUGGAGUUUAGUGGUGUAAUCUAGCCUCACUGCAACGUUUGCCUCCAGGAUUCAAGUAAUUCUCAUGCCUCAGCCACCUGAGUAGGUGGAAUUAGAAGUGUUCCUCAUUUUUAAAACUCUAGAACACAGAAAUUUUAUUUGUCUCCCAAAGUCCAAAAAUUUAACAAUAAAAGAAAAAUUAAGAGUCAGCUUUGAUAUCCUGACAUACAGUCUUCUUUGAGAUAUUAAUACCUUUUAUAAUAAAAAUGAAUGGGUAUUUUUAUGACUUUUUAGUAAGAAAAUAGUGAACCAAACCUGCUUGCACACAUUUAUAUUUACAUAAUUCUCAAAGACAAAUAUUUAAUUAUAGAAACGGUAUAUAUACAUAUGUACACACAUACAUACAUUAGUGACUCAUAUUCAAGGACUCAUAUUCUAGGGUUCAUAGUUUUCCCUUCUAUAUAUAUAUAUAUAUACACAUUAUAUAUAUACAUACACAGACACAUGUAUAUACACAUAUAAAAUACUAAAAAAUGUUUAAAAGUUAACUUGUAAAUCUUACAUUCAGAUAUUCUGAUUUACCGUGUCUAUAUCAAGACUCAAUAUGGUUUUGUAAAAGUAAACACUCCAAGUAGUUUCGAUGCAAGUCAUCUAAAUCACUCAUUAAAAAAAUUGUGGCUCAUAAGUGUUCAUUAACAAAUAAAUGGAUAAAGAAAAUAUGGUAUAUAUACCCAAAGGAAUACUACAGCGCCAUAAAAAGAAUCAAAUCAUGUUAUUUGCAGAAACAUGAAUGAAACAAUAGGUCCUUAUGUUAAGUGAAACAAGCCAAGCAUAGAAUGACAAAUAUUGCAUAUUCUCACUCAUUUGUGGGAGCUAAAAAGUCUGAUCUCAGUAAGGUAGAGAGUAGAAUGAUGGUUAACAGAGGCUGGGAAGGAGGCAGGAUGAAGAUAGAUAUUGGUUAAUGGGUGCACAUGUAGAGUUAUAUAGAAGCGAUAAGUUCUAGUGUUCAAUAGCACACAAGAGUGAUUAUACUUAGCAAUAAUUUAUUGCCUAUUUCAAAAUAUUCAGAAGAAAAGACUUAAAAUGUCCCCAACACAUACACACGAAAUAAAUGUUGGAGGUAGUGGAUAUCCUAAUUACCAUGAUUUGGCCAUUAUGCAUUGUAUGCAUGCGUCGAAACAUCACAUGAACCCCAUAAAUAUGUACAAUCAAUAUGUAUCAAUUCACAAAGACGGAAAGAUGGAAAUGUUUUCGUUUAUAAAAACAAGGAUGGAAAAAAACAUCCUUACCUAAAUACUGUCCACAAUGUCACCGGUGCUUUGCAUCAUUCAGGUGAGCGAUGUUAGUCUCCCUUCUACUUAUCCCCGGGGUUUAAUUUGCACCAAGAUUGUUGUCUGCACAAAGAUUCAAUAGUAUACAGAAAAUCUUAUGGUGACCCAGAGAAGAUGUGAAAUGAUUAUAGUUUUAUGCCUUAGAUGAUGUUGCAUUUCUAGCCAUGGCAACACAUCCCCAGAAACUUUUCUGUAAUUAAAAUGGAAAUACUAUAUAAUUUAUCAUUUCAUUAUAAAAGUAGUUACUCUAUAUGUGGAAGGUUUUGGUGGUGUAAUUUCCCCAGAUAUGUAUAUCAAUAUGUGCGAGCAAAUGCUUGUAAGUAAAAACAGAUAAGAUAAUUUUAUAUUCUAUAUGAUGUUAAGAGUGUUAAGCCAGAGCAAAAUUUCAUUUUGAAUAUGGUAACCCUGGAUUUGUUGUUUCAAUCUGGAUUUUAUAUUUUAGAUAGGGUUAAUUAAUCAGAAAAUAGAUCACUCUUACUGCCUCUUCUGAAAUUUUAACAAAUAGUUUUGUUAUCUGUUAAAUAUCAGCAUCUUUAAAGUCUUUGGAGAGACUCUUUUCAGUUUCAGUAAAGCAUUAGUGUUUGUACACUAAUGUAUGUUUGUCAGGUUUAUUUAUUUAUUUAUUGACCUCAGUGCAGGAAAAUUUCACCCCAGGGGGUCUUACAUUAUUUUUCUACUCCAAAAUACAUAGGCUACACAGAACAACAUCAUUAGCAACAUUGUUUCAGCAAGGAAAUAAUCCUUAUUGGCAAAGGGAAACCAAGGAAAGAAAACUAUUGUUUUCUUCGGCUACAUGCUGUCUGCAAAGCACCCCAUGGAUUCAAUUUCUCAUCAAUUCAGAAUGGAAUACUAACGUGCUGCCUAGAGAUACAGAAGUGGGAUGAACGCAGGGCCUUACUCAGCAUUCAGAACAAAACUGAUGGUGCUAGCAUAUAUAAGACUGAAACACCAAAGUCCUCCGUGGAAGUUAAUGAAUUUCUAAUAGUGAAAUAAGGUGGCCAAGGAGGCAGAGAUGGAGUCAGGGACUCUGUGAUCAACCCUGAGGAUUGGGAAGGAACUAUACAUACCAGGAGGCAAGGAGCACUGGGGGCCCUCCUGGAACUGCCUGUCACAGCGUCCUCAAAGACUUAGUCCCAGCCUUUGAAAAACUGCUGGUACCAUCUGCAGAAACACUACCGGUAAUUUUCAGACAUUACAUCAUUCACAUUUAGUUUGGCCAGAGUCAUUUAAAGUAAUAUCUGCAGGAUCAUUUUUUGGUUCUUCUAGCUGUAUCCUGAUAAAGUCUAAAUAAAAAAAAUUAUAGACUCUUUAACAGAAGAAUGUUCCUACUAGUGUACUUCCGCACUUUAAAAUGACACCUUCAAAGGAACUUCUGGAUCAACUAAAAUUUCUGGAGAAAUCACUUUAUGACCUUUUAGAGGUGUGUUGGCAAUAGAAUUGGCAGACUGGUCAUGUGAUUCUUGAUUUCCUGCGAAAUGUAACCGUCUUUAACUCUGAAUCUGUGGGAAUGCUUUAUGCUCUACUUUGCAGGUGUCUUUAGUUAGUACUGCUUCUACUUUUCCAGAGAGUGGUGCUAGGGAAGAACAUGCUAAAUUAUCUGGGUUAGGAGAUAUCCUUUCUCUGUUAGUGCUGUUACUAUUGUUGUCCUCAUUGUGGUCAUUGGUCAUUGUUAUCAUCAUCAUCAUCAUCACUGAACACACUGGUUGCAUUAUUUCAGUCCAACAGACUUUUGAAACAGGAGACAAAGGAGACACAGGAGAAGUAGACUAAUGUGUACUACAGCGACGUUUCUGUUCCACUUUCCUCUUAAUUUCAGGGUCCAGUUUGUGAUUCAGACUUUUGUUUUCGUUAUUAUGCAUUGAACACCUUGAGGCCAGUUUAAUCUUAAAGGGUUAAUUUCAAUUGUUUAGACAUGAGAUGGUUAUUUUCUUUGGGCUGCUGAUUUUACUAUUCUUAUCUGUGCCUUAGCAUGAUAAAAACACCUACUAUGAAGGUUCCAGAAAGUAAUUAUGCAUUUUGUGUAUUUUCACUUAGUUUCUAAUUGUUGCUCAACAUGUUAAAUCCAAUUUUGUGGCUUUCCAAAGUUUAAAACGUCCAGCCUUGCUUCUUUUUACACUUCAAGACAAAAUCACCAGAAUCACUAACAACUUUGGAUCUACAAUUUAAUGUUCAGAGACGUCACUUCCCCAGCGUCUUCCUCGCGCCGCAGGCAGCCAUCUUCCGUACUCCCCCGCAGCCUUGAGUUCUUAAUCUGUGGCCCACAUGGCCAGUGGCUCCCCAGGAUGCGGGGCCACUCCGCAGGAGGGAGGCUGCCACAGCCUUGUGGGCUUCAGGCAGGUGCUCCCACAUCCAAACGUCCUACACCAAGGCAGGACCGAAGCCCCCGGGCUUGUCCGUGUCCGUGGUUCUGGGGAGCAGAGAAUGGCGCACUGAGGCGCUCCUUAGGGCCCUGCAGGGCGCGAAGAACAGUGACAGCAACUGCUCCUCGCAGGCCCGGUUCCACUCUUCCCCUGACACCCCAUCCACUCCUUA